GGAGAAAUGGCAGAGUGGUUGAUUGCGGCGGUCUCGAAAAUCGUUUUAGCUGUGGCUACCGAGGGUUCAAAUCCCUCUUUCUCC
rnacentral:tRNA from 1 species